AUGGACGUAAUGACGGUGGAGGACAGGACAGCGAUCUCAGCUCUGAAACAUAAUCCCAAUAUCAUCAUAAAACCAGCGGAUAAAGGAUCAAAAAUUGUCAUCAUGGAUUCACAACAAUAUGCACUGGAGGCACGGAGACAGUUGAACAACACAAAAUACUACAAACCUAUUGCCAACAGCAUACAAAGCCAGACUCAGUCACGUGCUAGACAUAUUAUACAAAGUUUGUAUACAAACCACUUUAUUUCUGCCAAACAGAGAGACUUUCUCUUUGGACCGGAUCCACCUCGCAAUAGACUUUUUUACCUACUCCCCAAAAUUCACAAGGACCCACUUACCUGGACAGUUCCACACAUCAUCCCUCCCGGCAGACCCAUUGUGUCGGACUGCGACAGUGCCACAUACAAUAUAUCAAAGUAUAUUGAUUUUUUCUUGGGCCCCCUUGCCUGCAGACAUCCCAGCUAUUUGAAAGACACCUACCACUUUCUAAAUAGGAUACGGCCCAUGAUUUUGCCACACAAUGUCAUACUCUUCACCAUUGACAUUGAUAGUUUAUACACAAACAUUAACACAGAGAUGGGCUUGAGAGCGAUACAGCGAGUGUUUGAUCAAUAUCCGGACCCGAACAGACCAGAUGUGGAAUUGAUGUCACUUCUGAAAUUAUGUCUGAAAAACAAUGAUUUUGAAUUUGAUGGCCAGCAAUACUUACAGGUGGAGGGUACAGCCAUGGGUCACAGAUAUGCCCCUUCCUAUGCAAACAUUUAUAUGAGUGAGUGGGAACGGGAGGCACUACAGAAAUGCCCAUUGAAACCCACUUUUUAUUUUCGAUUUCUGGAUGACAUCAUUGGAGCCUGGAGCCAUGGACGGGAGAACUUUCAAACUUUUUUUGAAACCUUAAACAACCAUCAUCCCUCCAUUAAAUGCAAAUAUGACCUGCAAUCCGAUGAAAUUAAUUUUUUAGACACUACAAUAUUCUUUGAAUCCAUUGAUACAGACAAUAAAAGAUUACUGUCCCGGGUUUACUUUAAACCCACAGAUACUCAUGCACUACUUCAUAAGGCCAGUUAUCAUCCCAAACACACGUUCAAAGGCAUAAUCAAAUCACAGAUCAUCCGCUUUCAUAGAAUAUCUUCCAGAGAGACAGACCUGAACCAGGCCAUUUCCACACUGUUCUGCAGCCUCAGAACACGCGGCUACUCCAGGAGGUUUCUCAGGGCCAUCAAAACAAACACACUGGCAUCUAUCAACAACCCCUCUCCGUCUCUCCCCUCUCCUCACCGACUGACUCCUUUGCUGCCUCCUCCUCCUCCCCACAGCCGAGAAGGCAGACCUCGAGAUGGGAGACAAGACAGGAAGAUGGAGAACCUCAUCCCCCUGGUCACAACUUACUCUAAACCUUACCUUAAUCUGCAGAGCAUCUGGAAAGAAAACUUUCACACUACCAUGACGGGUCACAGGUUAUUCCACAACCACAAGAUAAUCUCAGCUUUUCGGAGAAACAAAAACCUGAGAGACCUGUUGACUCAAGCAAAGUUCUGCAGAUACAAAAGUACAAGUGAUGACGACACACAUUGGGCCUUCAGGCAGGUAAAGUUUUUAUUCAACAGACAUAGCGGUGCUGGUAUAGCAGUCAAUGGCAGAUUCAACUUGAAUAGCUUCAAUCUGGUUUACUGCAUUGUUUGUCAGACCUGUGGAAAGAUGUAUGUGGGUGAGACAGGAAAAACACUUCUCACCAGAUUGAAACAGCACAUCCACAACAUUCAAGUGGCAAAGCUGAAUUCUCUCCUGGUCCAACACUUCCAGCUUCAUCCCCUUCACAGCCUCACCAUAUCAGGCAUUCAAACCUGUGCUACAUGGACAACUGGACAGAGGAGGAGACAUGAGUCAUCAUGGAUCAAUAAAUUACUGACCAGGACCCCUCUGGGACUAAACAGUUGA
ensembl:lncRNA